rnacentral:rRNA from 1 species
GUACACUCCUGCGGGAGGCAGCAGUGGGGAAUAUUGGACAAUGGGCGCAAGCCUGAUCCAGCCAUGCCGCGUGAGUGAUGAAGGCCCUAGGGUUGUAAAGCUCUUUCACCGGUGAAGAUAAUGACGGUAACCGGAGAAGAAGCCCCGGCUAACUUCGUGCCAGCAGCCGCGGUAAUACGAAGGGGGCUAGCGUUGUUCGGAUUUACUGGGCGUAAAGCGCACGUAGGCGGACUAUUAAGUCAGGGGUGAAAUCCCGGGGCUCAACCCCGGAACUGCCUUUGAUACUGGUAGUCUUGAGUUCGAGAGAGGUGAGUGGAAUUCCGAGUGUAGAGGUGAAAUUCAUAGAUAUUCGGAGGAACACCAGUGGCGAAGGCGGCUCACUGGCUCGAUACUGACGCUGAGGUGCGAAAGCGUGGGGAGCAAACAGGAUUAGAAACCCUGGUAGUCCCA